CGUUAAAACACCGGUUUCUUUCGGAUCACCGACGUUAAGCAACAGUGAGCCUGGUCAGUAAAUGUAUGGGUGACCACUUGGGAAUACCAGGUGUUAUA